rnacentral:ncRNA from 1 species
CAAUAUCUGCCACCGGGUAGAAGCAUUCGCAGCGUGUCGUUAGGUCUUUGAAGAUACGCUGUCGAGUGCUUAUUUUUU